rnacentral:lncRNA from 1 species
UAGUAUAAAAGCUUUUCUUCUCUCCCCCUUUUUAUUUUGUGGUUCCAGGCCUUCAAUGAAUAUUCAAAUAUUAAUAAUGUUUGGUCUCUUUCUUUUCUUUUCCUUUCUCUUUUCUUUAAGGAAAAAAGGUGUGGGAAAGCAAAUACACUAUGGGAAGAUAUAUAACGCAAUGAGAACUGCGCAUGCAGUAUUUUACAAGUUGUAUUGACCUUGACGCUGCUCUUAAAUUAAUGGAUCGGAGAAUGAAUGAGAAAUAUUAAGUCAUUGAUCUUCACCCUAGUCCACACGUUCAAUUCGGGUCUUGACUCAUAUAUUUCGUAUAGAUAUAUAGAUGUUUAAUUUUCAUGGAAUAAUUGGUUUUCGUUGCAUGUACUAAGACUUUUGUUCUUCCAUGCGUCUCAGAAUGUCAAAGACAAAUAGGAAGUGAGUUUGUCAAUAUGUGAUCUCUCUACCUAAUUGUUGUUUCUAAUAAUAAUUCAAGAAUCGCAACCACGUGUUUCCCAC